rnacentral:misc_RNA from 1 species
GUAGCCGUGUAGAGUUUUUUUCAUAAAGAAAAAAACGCAGGACGCCGCCGCCGCUUGAAAAAAUCGCCAGCCAAAGGAAGGUGAAAAUUUAGCCAAAAGCAGACCCACGGGUGAGCAGCAGUUCGCACCCAAGCCUAACACAGACCUAGCCCCAACUAAUUCCACCUGCACGUGCUACCCGAUCCGCUCGCAGUGCCGCAGAAACGUGUCUGAAGAAGGGGGCCCCUCUGCGCGUCUACAGCAAAACAACAAGAAGAACAAGAACAAGAUGUCUGACAUUUCCAGCGAGGACCUGCGCCGCGAAGUGCAGGCGGUGCUGAAGGACGCCGAUUUGGCCACCAUCUCGGCCAAGCGGGUGCGCGAGCAGGUAGAGGGAAAACUCAAUUGCUCGCUGCUCGGCCGCAAGAAGGAGUUCGACAAGAUUGUCAUGGAGGUGAUAAACGAGCAGCAGGACGAAGAGGAAGAUGACGACGAUGACAAGGAUCCCGAUGCCGAUCCGGACGAUGAGAGCGAGCCAAGCGAGGAGGAGUCUCCCAGCAGCAGCGAGGAGGAGAAGGCCAAGAAGAAGCCGGUACAGAAAAAGCGGCCACAGCCGACCAAGCACAAGGCGCCUAAGAAGAAGCGCAAGACACUUAACGCCGACGACUCGGGCACCGAAAGCGAUGCAGGCUCCGAUUCCGACUACGAGGUGGUCAAGAAGCCGCCCGCGAAGAAGAAGACCAAGGCCGCCGGCGGCGGUAGUUCCGGCACGGGUGCCCCUCGCAAGAGCACCGGCUUCACCCGCGCCUACAAUCUCUCGCCCGAGCUGUCCGCCCUCAUGGGCGCCCCCUCGCUGCCCCGGCACGAGGUGGUAAAGAAAGUCUGGGCCAUCAUCAAGGAGCGGGAUCUGUACGAUCCGAAGAACAAGCAGUUUGCCAUCUGCGACGAGGAGCUGAUGAAGGUCAUGAAGAUCCGCCGAUUCCGCACCUUUGGCAUGCUGAAGCACCUCAAGCCGCAUUUCCUUGACUAAGCGUGAAGAGGAGGAGGAGGAGCACUCUCCACCCAGAUCCCAUCCAGAUGCAAACGACUUACUUUUACGCGAUGUAGACAGCGACCAGGACAACCAACGACAGCGAGAACCAGGAAACGAUGGACUCCGACGAUAAUGACGCCCCAUUUGACUCCUUUGGGGAGCCACAGCCACAGUAGCAAUGUGUUUAGCAUUAAAACCUUAAUUAAGACGGAUCUACAGAACAAUUUUUAUGUAGUCUACGGCAUUUUAAUUAUACAUAAAAAAUUAUAUUUAAAAACAACUGCGACUAACAAAACGAAUUGUAACAACAACAACAAUACAUGAUGAAGAAGAAA